rnacentral:rRNA from 1 species
AACGAACGCUGGCGGCAUGCCCAACACAUGCAAGUCGAACGAGAACUUCGGGUCGCGUGGCGCACGGGUGAGUAACGCGUGGGAACCUGCCCUUAGGUUGGGAAUAACUCCCCGAAAGGGGUGCUAAUACCGGAUAAUGUCUUCGGACCAAAGAUUUAUCGCCUUUGGAUGGGCCCGCGUUGGAUUCGCUAGUUGGUAGGGUAAAAGCCUACCAAGGCGACGAUCCAUAGCUGGUCUGAGAGGAUGAUCAGCCACACUGGGACUGAGACACGGCCCAGACUCCUACGCGAGGCAGCAGUGGGGAAUAUUGGACAACGGGCGGAAGCCUGAACCAGCAAUGCCGCGUGAGUGAUGAAGGCCUUAGGGUUGUAAAGCUCUUUUACCCGGGAUGAUAAUGACAGUACCGGGAGAAUAAGCUCCGGCUAACUCCGUG